rnacentral:rRNA from 1 species
UACGUAGGGUGCAAGCGUUAAUCGGAAUUACUGGGCGUAAAGCGUGCGCAGGCGGUGAUGUAAGACAGAUGUGAAAUCCCCGGGCUCAACCUGGGAACUGCAUUUGUGACUGCAUCGCUGGAGUACGGCAGAGGGGGAUGGAAUUCCGCGUGUAGCAGUGAAAUGCGUAGAUAUGCGGAGGAACACCGAUGGCGAAGGCAAUCCCCGUGGCCUGUACUGACGCUCAUGCACGAAAGCGUGGGGAGCAAACAGG